rnacentral:tRNA from 1 species
UGGUAAGCCAAACCAUUUUCUCUUCUUUUUUUUUGCAUCUAGAAUGCUUUAAGCGGUAUUUCAACAACGAAA